rnacentral:rRNA from 1 species
UACGUAGGGUCCAAGCGUCAUCCGGAAUCACUGGGCGUAAAGCGUGCGUAGGUGGAUAGUUAAGUGCAAUGCGAAAUCCUGUGGCUCAACCAUAUGGACUGUAUUGCAUACUGGCUGUCUAGAGGACAUGAGAGGCAAGUGGAAUUACCGGUGUAGCAGUGAAAUGCGUAGAUAUCGGUAGGAACACCAAUGGCGAAGGCAGCUUGCUGGCAUGUAUCUGACGCUAAGGCACGAAAGCGUGGGGAGCGAACAGG